GACGAACGCUAGCUACAGGCCUAAUACAUGCAAGUCGAGGGACCGGCGCACGGGCGAGUAACACGUAUCCAACUUGCCCCUUACUCGGGGAUAGCCUUUUGAUAGAAAGAUUAAUACACGCUGUAAACGUCACGGAUUCGUUCCAUUAGGUUGUUGGUGAGGUAACGGCUCCCCAAGCCUUCGAUGGAUAGGGGUUCGGAGAGGAAGGUCCCCCACAUUGAAACUGGGACACGGUCCAAACUCCUACGGGAGGCAGCGUUGAUGAAGAUUGGUCAAUGGGCGUGAGCCUGAACCAGCCAAGUAGCGUGAAGGAUGAAGGCUGAUGGGUCGUAAACUUCUUUUAUAUACGAAUAUGUAUUAUAUGAAUAAGGAUCGGCUAACUCCGUGCCAGCCGCCGCGGUAAUAC
rnacentral:rRNA from 1 species